rnacentral:rRNA from 1 species
UACGUAGGGGGCAAGCGUUGUCCGGAUUCAUUGGGCGUAAAGAGCGUGUAGGCGGCCUGGAAGGUCAGCUGUGAAAACUCGAGGCUCAACCUCGAGACGUCGGUUGAAACCACCUGGCUAGAGUCCGGAAGAGGAGUGUGGAAUUCCCGGUGUAGCGGUGGAAUGCGCAGAUAUCGGGAGGAACACCUGUGGCGAAAGCGGCUCACUGGACCAUAACUGACGCUGAGGCGCGAAAGCUAGGGGAGCAAACAGG